GUUUCACACAGCUGUCUCCCUGCAAGACUGUCUCUCUCUUUCUGGAAUAGCUUAUUGUCCACCAGCGUUUCCUCCUAAUGCUGUCAUACGUCGUUAUUAACAACAAGCAAACAAAGAUUCCCAGGAUGGGUUGCACCAGGAAUGUCGUCGAGGCCGUCCAGCAUUAAAAACUGUCCAGAAUCAUAAUGUACACUGCCAUCAUGGCCACCAAUGAUAAAGGGACAAACUCAAAGUCAUUCUUCUUCAAAUAUAAACCAGUGUGGAAAGUGAUGCCCGAAAUAUGUUGCGACAGAGACAAACUAAAAAAAGCCAUACCAGUAAAGUGAACUGUUGGUGCAUCCAGGUUAAGAGUAUAAAGAUCAUCCACCUAAAAACAUGGACUAUUAAUUAAAUUAGUCUAAUAUGUCGGACAGGGAAAACACCGAUCAUUAUCUUUCCCUUUGAUUUAAUGAAAGUUAUGGAAAAGAAGGUUUUAAGAAUUAUUUUUAACUGACCAAAUGCCAGUGCAUUCGUUUUAAUACCUUAAACAUUGUUUGUCAACCCUAAAGGCUGUAUUAACUUUCUGCGGUUUUUACUGUAUACGUACCGCAGCUCCCAUGGCCAGCAGGCGGUGCCAAGUACACAUUAGAAAGCCCUUCUUCAUAUUUAAAGCGUAAUUGUGCAUCGGAAUGCCAAAAUACUAGCUCGAGGCAGCAUUUUAAAACGUGAACUACAGAUUUCAUAAAUCUAGCUUCUACUAUAUGCGUUAUCACUUGGCUCUACAGGGUCUAUUUUCCACUGGUUAUAAAUAAAUAAAUAUCUCGCACUUGACCAGGGGCCUUUAAUGUAUUUAAGGUCAAAGGCCCUCAACCGGCUUAAGAGAUGGAUUAUGUAUAAUAUUAUUAUGUAUAAUAAUAUUGAAGUGUCAUAGAAGACAAUUGCUGUUAGCCUGCAUAGGAGUAAAAGCUGAGCCCAGAUCUAUUUUCAUUAACAACAUUUAAAAUGCUGUUAGACUUGAUGAAGAGUGUCAGAGAUUUGUGGAGGCGUCUUAAAUCAAAAGAAAGUUGUUCAAAUUAAAUCCUAAAUCAUCUUUGUUUGUGUUCAUUGACAAAAGGUUGACUCCCUCACUCACUCAAUUACGUAAUGAACAUAUGCCCCCUUUAUAAUAGUUAGUAGUCCUCUUAGUUAACUUGCAUGAAUUGCAUCAGUGUAUCUGUUAAAUACAGUGGUUUGUCUCCAAAAUAAUCCUACUAUAUCUACUGUACAAAUGCUGUUUAAAAUCCGUGUUCUUUUCAAAAGCCUCUUUUUUUUCUUUGAAAAGUUUAAUUUUUGUAGGUUAUGAAAUAAUCACAUGACGGUAAUUUUUUUAUUAAUAAUAGAUUUUAUUUACAGAGAAUGAAAGAUUGCAGGUGAACUGUAUAGCAUUUGAGAGCACAAAAAAAAAAUUCACUCCCAAGAUUAAUAGAAAGAAUGAAUGUACAAACAGAGACAACAUUAUAGCAGGAGAACCAUUUAGAAUAAUCAAAUCCCACAGCCUUAUUUUGAACUUUUGAUCCCAUAUCAGAAGUUAAACGCAGGUCCGCCCCUCGAACCUCACCACUACACUGUGGAUUAAACUGUAACAGCACAUUGGAAAACAAGCAGAGCCGUUAGUAUGGCUGUAGUAAGACUGAACCACAUAUAAAAGUCUGGAUAUGGUAAUAAAACAUACACUAUGCACUAAAAAAAA